AAGAAGAAUUCACACAGGAACCCGUCAGCCUGGACUCCUGCAGCAGCUGCAGAGACGACGGAGGAGCUUCGUCUUGACAAGCCUGAAUCAUGGGAAACAAAGGCUCAGUUACCAAUACGACUCCUUAUAACUGGGUACUUGACAAAGGAAGACAGUUUUCUGAGGAUGUUUGUACUCUAUACAGAAAUAGCACAAGAGAAUAUAAAGAAGAUUUCUUCCACAAUUAUCAGCUAUACCUUCGAUAUGAAAACCACUCAGACUGGGACCUU